GUAUUGGAGAAGGAUUCCAAAUGGGUCGCAACCACAGCCGCGCCCCACGGAGGGAGCGGAGGCGGUCCUGGUCCACAUCCCGGGAAAGAGAAUGCAGGCGCCGAGAAAGACCCGGGUUCCGGGAGCGAGAUCGGAGAAGAAGCUGCUCUCGCUCCCCACACAGAUGGCGUUCCAGGUCCCCAAGGCAACAUAGAUCCACAUCUCCUUCCCCUUCUCUACUGAGAGAAACAAGAGAUGAGGAGAAGAAAGAAACAAAAGAAACAAACAGCAAAGAAUGUCAGAUAACUGAGGAAGACUUAGAGGGCAAAACAGAGGAAGAAAUAGAAAUGAUGAAGUUAAUGGGAUUUGCCUCCUUUGGCUCCACAAAAGGGAAAAAGGUGGAUGGCUCUGUAAAUGCCUAUGCCAUAUAUGUGUCUCAGAAGAGAAAGUAUAAGCAGUACAUGAAUCGAAAAUGUGGAUUCAACAGACGUUUGGAUUUCAUUGCAUGAGCUCAAGUGUUGAAGAAUGAUGUUUUUUCCCUCAUCUUGAUCAGAACAGUGGAUUUUUUAUUUAAUAUGCAUCAAAAACAGGAUCACAGUCCUUCCUCUUUGUAAAGUAAGAAAAUUUUAUUUAUGAUGUGUGUAGUUCACUUACCCUGCCUCAAAAAAAGAGAAGUUAAAUAUUACAUUUUUUUCCUUUAGGAAAUAUCAUUUGGGGCAGUCACCAACCCCAUUUUUUUGUCCUUAUUCCUAUGGGAACUGUAUAUGUUUUUCUCUUGGAUGCUGUUUAUGACUUCUUAAAAUACAUAAAGUGAUUUGGAAGUAAGUUUCUCAAAUAAAGCAAUAAUUUCUAAAAAAAAAAA